rnacentral:tRNA from 1 species
UUAAUUGAAACCAAAAUUUGAGGUAUAUCACUGUUAAUGAUAAAAUUGAGAAUAACUCCAAUUAAA